GCAAAAACAUGGCAGAAAAAGAAGGGGACAGAGAAACAAGUUCAAAGACUAUUAGUGAGCAUUUACCCAGACAACGAAAGAAGUUUAACAGAUCCACACUUCUGAGACUCAGUCUCACACAUGAAAUUCAGAAGCUGACAAACUAAAAA